rnacentral:rRNA from 1 species
GAUGAACGCUAGCGGCAGGCCUAAUACAUGCAAGUCGAGGGGUAGCGGGAUUAAGCUUGCUUAAUUGCUGACGACCGGCGCACGGGUGCGUAACGCGUAUGCAACCUACCUUAUACUGGGGUAUAGCCCGGAGAAAUUCGGAUUAAUCCCCCAUAGUACUAAUGAAUCGCAUGGUGUAUUAGUUAAAGCAUUGCGGUAUAAGAUGGGCAUGCGUCCUACUAGCUAGAUGGUGAGGUAACGGCUCACCAUGGCUACGAUAGGUAGGGGGCCUGAGAGGGUGGUCCCCCGCACUGGUACUGAGACACGGACCAGACUCCUACGGGAGGCAGCAGUGAGGAAUAUUGGUCAAUGGGCGCAAGCCUGAACCAGCCGUGCCGCGUGCAGGAAGAAUGCCCUAUGGGUUGUAAACUGCUUUUAUUUGGGAAUAAACCUCUUUACGUGUAGAGAGCUGAAGGUACCAAAUGAAUAAGCACCGGCUAACUCCGUGCCAGCCGCCGCGGUAA